rnacentral:misc_RNA from 1 species
GAUGAAGAACGUAGCGAAAUGCGAUACUUGGUGUGAAUUGCAGAAUCCCGCGAAUCAUCGAGUUUUUGAACGCAAGUUGCGCCCGAAGCCAUUAGGCCGAGGGCACGCCUGCCUGGGCGUCACACGUCGUUGCCCCCCCAUCUACUCCUUCGGGAUUGCGGGGGGCGGAUGAUGGCCUCCCGUGCGCCUCGUCGCGCGGUUGGCAUAAAUGCCAAGUCCUCGGCGACGCACGCCACGACAAUCGGUGGUUGCGAAACCUCGGUUGCCCGUCGUGUGCGGUCGUCGCGCAUCGAGGGCUCGAAAAAAUUGCCGGGCUCCGGCUCGGCUUUCAACGCGACCCCAGGUCAGGCGGGGUUACCCGCUGAAUUUAAGCAUAUCAAUAAGCGGAGGA